rnacentral:rRNA from 1 species
AAUAGAUACCCUGGUAGUCCACGCCGUAAACGAUGAGUGCUAAGUGUUAGGGGGUUUCCGCCCCUUAGUGCUGCAGCUAACGCAUUAAGCACUCCGCCUGGGGAGUACGGUCGCAAGACUGAAACUCAAAGGAAUUGACGGGGGCCCGCACAAGCGGUGGAGCAUGUGGUUUAAUUCGAAGCAACGCGAAGAACCUUACCAGGUCUUGACAUCCCAUUGACCACUAUGGAGACAUAGUUUUCCCUUCGGGGACAACGGUGACAGGUGGUGUAUGGUUGUCGUCAGCUCGUGUCGUGAGAUGUUGGGUUAAGUCCCGCAACGAGCGCAACCCUUGUUCUUAGUUGCCAUCAUUUAGUUGGGCACUCUAAGGAGACUGCCGGUGACAAACCGGAGGAAGGUGGGGAUGACGUCAAAUCAUCAUGCCCCUUAUGACCUGGGCUACACACGUGCUACAAUGGACGGUACAAACGGUUGCCAACCCGCGAGGGGGAGCUAAUCCGAUAAAACCGUUCUCAGUUCGGAUUGUAGGCUGCAACUCGCCUACAUGAAGCC